rnacentral:rRNA from 1 species
CCGAGUUGUAAUUUGUAGAGGAUGCUUUUGGUGAGGUGCCGCCCGAGUUCCCUGGAACGGGACGCCACAGAGGGUGAGAGCCCCGUCUGGCUGGCCACCGAGCCUCUGUAAAGCUCCUUCGACGAGUCGAGUAGUUUGGGAAUGCUGCUCAAAAUGGGAGGUAUAUGUCUUCUAAAGCUAAAUAUUGGCCAGAGACCGAUAGCGCACAAGUAGAGUGAUCGAAAGAUGAAAAGCACCUUGAAAAGAGGGUUAAAUAGUACGUGAAAUUGUUGAAAGGGAAGCGCUUGUGACCAGACUUGGGCGCGGCGGAUCAUCCGGGGUUCUCUCCGGUGCACUUCGCCGCGUCUAGGCCAGCAUCAGUUCGUCGCGGGGGAAAAAGGCUUCGGGAACGUGGCUCCUCCGGGAGUGUUAUAGCCCGUUGCAUAAUACCCUGCGGUGGACUGAGGACCGCGCAUCUGCAAGGAUGC